AUGAAGGCUUUCUGCAGAGAAAAUGAGCUCUGGAAAAGCACUACAGUCAAUGUCUCCUCACAACAAUCAACCGCCGCCGACACCAAGCCUGGCGAAAAGAAAGAAGAUUCAAGAGAAGUCUGCAAUAAGGAGUCCAACAGACAGUGUGAUGUCCCCAUGUACAAGACAGCUCAUGAAGAAAGCUAUCAAGGACAUACCGUCAUCUCCCAGACCCCGACGGGAAGCGAAAGAGAACACUGCAAAUAAAUGAAUGACCUUUUUAUGUACAGUGUGAUGUCUUUACGGUAUUCCUCUCUCUGCUAAGAUGGUCAGAUCAAUCAAUCAUUGACACUUUCCUGACAUUAUAUACCGUCUUUUUAAGAUGU
rnacentral:lncRNA from 13 species